rnacentral:lncRNA from 1 species
UCACCUUCUCGGAACGCACGAGGCUUGACCUUCUUAUCGAGUGCUUUCUCCACUCUCUGCUGAUAUGACUGACCAUGACACAUGGCAGUUAAUCUCUUCUUUUCGGUCGGAUUCAGUUGGUCAUAGUGACGCUGAAUCCAUCCAGCAUCAGUCAACUUGGGACUUUGAGGGUGCUAUUUUUCUUUUGUUCCUUUCUUUCUUUUUCUUUCUUCUGAUUUUUUUUUUGAUUUCUUUUGAUUUUGCACCCUCCUCUUUUUUUCUUUUUUUUUUACACAUUUUUUUUGAUGCCCUAGUUGGCUGUUCUGCUGAUUCUCGAGAUACAGCUGAGUGAUCCUCUUUUCUUGCUCAAGAAGUCGGGAAAUCUCGUCAAGAAUCCCUUCAACAUCUUCUUC